UGUCGGUAAAACUCGUGCCAGCUACCGCGGUUAUACGAGAGGCACCAAAUUGUUAGCACAUCGGCGUAAAGCGUGGUUAAGAAAAUAAACUUUUACUAAAGCCGAAUACCUUCAAAGCUGUCAUACGCACAUCGGAGGAAAGAAGACCAACUACGAAAGUGGCUUUAUUACAUCUGAACCCACGAAAGCUAGGAAACAAACUGGGAUUAGAUACCCCACUAUGACCACUAUGA
rnacentral:rRNA from 1 species